AAUUGGCCUUUGCCCGCCCCUCCUGCCGGGCCUAGGAUACCCCCAUGGCCUUGGGCUUCCCUGGGCUUGGUGGAGGAGGCAGCUGCGGGCGGCAGGAGGGAGGCAGGUACUCUUUCCCCAGGGCCCACGCAGGGCUGGCACAGGCUGGCUGGGCCUCGCCCUCCCUCUCUGCAGGCUCCAGGCACUGCCCCCACCCCGUCACUCCUUUACAACUGUUCUUUCUGUUCCCCACAGCGUCCCUGGUGGACGCACCCUCGGAACAACCUUGCACAGAGCCCAGGGCCGGGCCGGGCCGUUGCACACUCGCCCUGGGAGACAGCAGCUUCACUGAGACCACAAUUAUUCUCUGGUUCCAAGGAGGAAACUGAGGCUCCAAGAGACAAAGCCACUUGCUCAAGGUGACAUCCAGCAAAAGGCUGAGCCUGGUCUGGAGCCAGGGCCACAGGGCCACCCUCCACUCUGGCCACGAGGCCCCCAGAAGGCCGCAGACACUCCUUGUGUACAGGACCACGCUCCACCCUGGCCGUGAUGCCCUCUUGGGCCGUGGACACUCCUUCUAUACUUCGGGGUCCUGUAUGGCCCUGGAGGGUGGCAAGGGCUUGGGAAUUCUUUAGCUCUGUUGCUGGGGAAUGUUCAGAUUCCAGGCAAGAAGAUGACACGACUGCCUCUGUGAGCCGCCCACCCUGACCCACCAGGCCUGUGCUGGCCCCACCUGCUCCUUCUCCAAUCUGCUGAGGGCUUGCUGCUGCUUCUCAACCAGCGCGGCCAGCACAGCUCUGUCCCUCUUGCUGUCCAGGCACCUGGGGGGAGGUGGCAACAUCACUGCCAAUGUUGACAGCCCGUGCAAGUGGAUAUAGAAAGUCACAGACACAGCCAGCCCUGGUCGGCCACAUCAACCUGGAAUGCCCUCCCAAGGUGCAGGCACCAGGGAGGACGCAGCCAUGCGUGGACAGGCUUGGAAGCCUUGGGGUGGCCAGAUGGCCCAACCCGGGCUGUCACUCUUCCACCCCUCACAGCCACUUUUGGACUUUUGGGUCUAAAGAGACAAAGGCUAGCCGAGAGCCGCCCCUGCCACCCUGAAGGCCCAGCCCAGGCCAGUGGGUCCUCUGGGGAGGGAGGUGGGGGUCACCCACAUCCACCCCCCACCCAUCAUGGAAUAAACACCCUCAGUCUGGCCCGCUCAGACACCGGGUGAGGAUGUUAACUGGAAUCACCUUUCUGGAGACCAAUGUGGCAGUAUCAAGCGGCUUCCAGAUGCAUUCUCACUGACCCGGUCAUUCCAUUUCUAAGGUUUUACCUUAAGGAAAUGAUCUCUCUAUCUUCAUUAAUAAUGGCAAAACGUUGGAGACAACCUAGAGGCCCGGAGAUCCGGGACAAGCGAAGGGAGUUACAGCCCUGUCUCUACGCCGGUGCGCCCUGUGUGUUAUAGCGGUUAUGUAGCUACACAGAAAGGUUUUCCUGACAUAUAAAUUGAAAACGCAAGUUACAAAACAGCACGUACUGCCCAUUUGCAAGUUGAAAUAGCCAUGUGUGUUUCUCCCCAAAACAGAGUAUCCGCACUGGGCGUGGUGGCUCUCGCCUGUAAUCCCAGCACUUUGAGAGGCCGUGGCUGGCGGAUCAACUGAGGUAGGGAGUUCGAGACCAGCCUGACCAACAUGGAGAAACCCCAUCUCUACUAAAAAUACAAAAUUAGCUGGGCGUGGUGGCGCACACCUGUAGUCCCAGCUACUCGGGAGACUGAGGCAGGAGAAUCCCUUGAACCUGGGAGGCGGAGGUUGCAGUGAGCCUAGAUCGCGCCACGCGCCUCUACACUCCAGCCUGAGCAACAAGAGCGAAACUCUGUCUCAAAACAAAACAAAACAAAACAAAAAAACAAAGUAUGCACAAAGAUGAUCUCAGAGGUCACCUUUGGAACGAUGGGGGUAUUUUUUUAUUUGUGUAUUGAGUACUUUACUGCCUUAUGUAAGUUUCAGCAAACACCUAUUACUGUUUGG
ensembl:lncRNA novel transcript, antisense to a novel protein